rnacentral:lncRNA from 1 species
AAAGGGUGAUUGCCAAGGUGGUGUCUAAGAAUCUGAAUGCAUUUGUGGAGGACUGACAAAUUCUUGAUGCAACCUUGAUUGCUAAUGAGACCAUAGAUUUGAGAAAAAGAAGCUCUAGAGCAAGCUUGGUAAGUAAGCUAGACUUGGAAAAAGCUUACAAUCACAUGAAAUGGGACUUCCUCCAUUAAGCCAUGAAGUAAAUGGGUUUUGG